UACGGGAGGCAGCAGUGGGGAAUAUUGCACAAUGGGCGCAAGCCUGAUGCAGCCAUGCCGCGUGUAUGAAGAAGGCCUUCGGGUUGUAAAGUACUUUCAGUCGUGAGGAAGGUGUUAAGGUUAAUAACCUUAGCAAUUGACGUUAGCGACAGAAGAAGCACCGGCUAACUCCGUGCCAGCAGCCGCGGUAAUACGGAGGGUGCGAGCGUUAAUCGGAAUUACUGGGCGUAAAGGGCACGCAGGCGGUUAAUUAAGUUGGAUGUGAAAUCCCCGGGCUUAACCUGGGAAUGGCAUUCAAGACUGGUUAGCUAGAGUCUUGUAGAGGGGGUAGAAUUCCAUGUGUAGCGGUGAAAUGCGUAGAGAUGUGGAGGAAUACCGGUGGCGAAGGCGGCCCCUGGACAAGACUGACGCUCAUGUGCGAAAGCGUGGGGAGCGAAAC
rnacentral:rRNA from 1 species